rnacentral:rRNA from 1 species
AUUGAACGCUGGCGGCAGGCCUAACACAUGCAAGUCGAGCGGAUGAAGGGAGCUUGCUCCUGGAUUCAGCGGCGGACGGGUGAGUAAUGCCUAGGAAUCUGCCUGGUAGUGGGGGAUAACGUCCGGAAACGGGCGCUAAUACCGCAUACGUCCUGAGGGAGAAAGUGGGGGAUCUUCGGACCUCACGCUAUCAGAUGAGCCUAGGUCGGAUUAGCUAGUUGGUGGGGUAAAGGCCUACCAAGGCGACGAUCCGUAACUGGUCUGAGAGGAUGAUCAGUCACACUGGAACUGAGACACGGUACAGACUCCUACGGGAGGCAGCAGUGGGGAAUAUUGGACGAUGGGCGAAAGACUGAUCCAGCCAGGCCGCGUGUGUGAAGAAGGUCUUAGGAUUGUAAAGCACUUUAAGUUGGGAGGAAGGGCAGUAAGUUAAUACCUUGCUGUUUUGACGUUACCAACAGAAUAAGCACCGGCUAACUUCGUG